UACGGAGGGUGCAAGCGUUAAUCGGAAUUACUGGGCGUAAAGCGUGCGCAGGCGGUUUGUUAAGUCUGCUGUGAAAUCCCCGAGCUCAACUUGGGAACUGCAGUGGAUACUGGCAAGCUGGAGUACGGUAGAGGAAGGUGGAAUUCCCGGUGUAGCAGUGAAAUGCGUAGAGAUCGGGAGGAACACCAGUGGCGAAGGCGGCCUUCUGGACCAGUACUGACGCUCAUGCACGAAAGCGUGGGGAGCAAACAGG
rnacentral:rRNA from 1 species